GGGGGUGUAGCUCAGUGGUAGAGAUCAUGCUUGGUGUGCACGAGGUCCUGGGUUCAAUCUCCAGUGACUCUG
rnacentral:tRNA from 1 species